UACAGGGGGGGCAAGCGUUGUUCGGAAUUACUGGGCGUAAAGGGCUCGUAGGCGGCCAACUAAGUCACACGUGAAAUCCCCAGGCUUAACCUGGGAACUGCGUGUGAUACUGGAUGGCUUGAAUUCGGGAGAGGGAUGCAGAAUUCCAGGUGUAGCGGUGAAAUGCGUAGAUAUCAGGAGGAACACCUGUGGUGUAGACGGCUUUCUGGACCAUAGCUGACGCUGAGACACGAAAGCGUGGGUAGCAAACAGG
rnacentral:rRNA from 1 species